rnacentral:lncRNA from 1 species
UAACGUACAAUUGUUUGUGCUUUGUGGCUAUGGAGACUUUUACUGCCUUGAUUGAAUAAAUACAUAUAGGUUGCAGGUAUUUUCUCUUGUGAAACCUCUGAUAUCACGAAAUUUAUUAUUAGCUCAGCUCAAUUCAUCAGUCCAUCAUGAAGUAUGUAGAAUGUGUUGGGGCUGUUGUUAAGGACUUCAGAUACCUGAUACGAUCCGUAUCGAAUCAUUCAUUCUCUUAGCUGCUUCAUCAGUCGGGAUUUUCUCGAUUUUAGAUGUUCUUAUUGCUUGAGUGAAAUCGGCACUGUUUUUCUGUUCUGGCAAGUUCAUCAAUAUUUCAUCGAUUGAUUUUCAAAGGAACUACAGAAGUUAGGUCAGUGGAAUUGACUCUGAAGACGGAAGAGGAGGAAGAACAAGUUAGAUAUUACGCCUAAUUAUUGUUGUACAUAACUUCAAACACUGACCACUUACCUUUCUUGAUUUCUUAGAAAUACGUCUAAACUAUCUUACAUUGCGAUUGAUUUCCAUGAAGUCCAUUGCCUAGUGAUGUCCUCGCUGCAAUGCAAGAGUUCUCUUUCAUGAUGAAUGUGUGUGAAAUCAUGAUUUUUGCAUUUUAUAUCCGCAGUAACAUGAUUCAAUGGAUGCCAAUGAGGUUGUGGUUCGACUGGUACUCAUACCCCUACUAUCUUAAGAGGGGAGCUUCUUCUUUAUAACUAGAAAAAAAAACACAUGAUUCAAUGGAUGCUGCCUGCCUUUGGCCCUCGUACUCAUGUUCCACAUCUCCAAUUCAGACACGAGAUUAUCCAUUUUCUACUGAGGUAGGAGGGAGCUUGCGUCUUAUGACUGCC